CGUAGGAUAUGUGAAGAAAAGUCAAAGAAAAUAGCAAUUGCAAAAUCAACUACCAAUGCUUUAAAUAUGUCAUGAUCUCAUACAAUUCAAUUAAAUGAACCUGAUGAAAAGGGGAUUAAAGAUGGUAUCUCAGAUCCAAACCAUAGCAAGUUACAGUCCGGAGUCAAACAAAUGUCUGUAAUAGUUUCUUGACAUGCCUUGGAGAAUCAAUGGUCUAUUAUUUAAAAGAGAAGAAAAGGAGCGGCCCAGCUCUAAAGAAAGCUUGCCAACCACUUGACUACGAGGACACUGAUUACCAAGAUGACUCGGCAUGCCCUGAAUGCCCACCCGAGGUCCAUUCCAGCUGUCCUGGCGAUCCCGUCCAAGAAGCAUCCCUACGAUGCAGCCAAAAGACUCCAUCCUGCACAGAGCCAAGGGACUGCAGGCAAAUAAGCAAUAUCCUGCCUCUUUGGCAAAUAAUGGAUCGUUUGGCUUCCUGAACUUCUGCAUGGAUUGUGUGUCUCUCCCUGCGUUUACUUAACAUCUUGAGCAGAAAUGAUGGAAUUAGAAUGAUUUCUUACUGGAAACCAAGCACAGAGAGGAG
rnacentral:lncRNA from 1 species